GUCAGCAGUGUUCAAGGAGCUGCAGCUUAGAGGAGGCGAUUUUGGGGAUAGUUAAAGAAAAACACAGACAAAUAGAUGAGCCUGACACCCUUGUUUUAUGUAUGGUCCUAUUUUGGCCCUUCGUUUUAGCGUACUCGAAUUUUGGUCCUAUAUACGGGAAAAUAUCCUAUGCAAUCACUUAUCCUGGUGCAAGCAUGCAAUCGAGCGAUCUGGUGCAUCCGAUCUAGAUCUAAUGAUGACUGUUAUUUUAUAUUUAACUCCUUCCACCUAAAACAUAGUACUUAUUUUACUUUUAACCCCUUUCAUAUGAAACCGUUGGAUCUAGAUUAGAUGCUCUGAAUAGUUUGAUUGCACGCUUGCACCAAAAUGAGUGAUUGCACAGGAUAUGUCCUCCCUAUAUACAUGAGGCAGACUGGCAGAGCAAGCAAGGUCUUGUUCUGUAGGCGGAGCCGCCUGUUAACUGAAAACCAGCAAUGUUACGAGUUACAAGCUUGUAAUGU
rnacentral:lncRNA from 7 species